UUCCAUCGAUAGAUUCAUCGAGAGUCAGUGCUUCAUUAUCAAUACCUUCGUCUAGAUAUAUGAUUUUCAUGUGCUUCUCGACCGGAUGAUAGAGCAGGCCGCAGACUAACGUAUUUAGCGUGAUUCCGCCCAUAAUGAGUACCGCUCCUCUGGAAUAUGACAGAAAAUUUAAUUAAUUACCUGUAUCCAAAGCAAUCCAGCAGAUAUUGUAGUAAUGGUGGUAGCACUAUAGUGCCAAUCGCGCUGCCGGAAAUGCACAAACCAUUUGCUACCCCUCGUAACUUCUCGAAAUACUGCGUGACGAUGUAAACCGUCGGUGGAAAUGAUAAUCCAGCACCGAUUCCGACCAUAAGUCCAUAACUGCGUAUAAAAAGAUUGUUAAGUCUACAAGAAAUGCUACGAAAUGAAAAUUUCAAAUUCUUAUCUUCCAGAAUGCCAUGAAAAAUAUUUCGAUACGUCGAACACUUUGCGAAUCAAAAUGCAAUUGACAUGUGUGCUCUCUUAGAAAAAAAAUUAAAAUUCCAAGCGGAUUUAAACCAAGGAUUAAUAUAUUCUUACGGAAUUGUAUUUACCUAAC